rnacentral:rRNA from 1 species
CCUACGGGAGGCAGCAGUGGGGAAUAUUGCACAAUGGGGGAAACCCUGAUGCAGCGACGCCGCGUGAGUGAAGAAGUAUUUCGGUACGUAAAGCUCUAUCAGCAGGGAAGAAAAUGACGGUACCUGACUAAGAAGCCCCGGCUAACUACGUGCCAGCAGCCGCGGUAAUACGUAGGGGGCAAGCGUUAUCCGGAUUUACUGGGUGUAAAGGGAGCGUAGACGGCAGGGCAAGUCUGGAGUGAAAUCCCAUGGCUUAACCAUGGAACUGCUUUGGAAACUGUGCAGCUAGAGUGCAGGAGAGGUAAGCGGAAUUCCUAGUGGAGCGGUGAAAUGCGUAGAUAUUAGGAGGAACACCAGUGGCGAAGGCGGCUUACUGGACUGUAACUGACGUUGAGGCUCGAAAGCGUGGGGAGCAAACAGGAUUAGAUACCCGAGUAGUC